rfam:Triticum urartu cultivar G1812 contig97365, whole genome shotgun sequence.
GUGAAGGUCAAACCAAAACACACAUGUACCGACACAUACUCCGGGGUGCCUGCAAAGGUCGGUGGUAUGGGGUACAUGGAGGCUCAAC